rnacentral:siRNA from 1 species
ACGGAGUGUGGUUUAAGUAUCUGU